GAGUUGGACUAGAUGACCUUUAGAAGGUCCUUUCCAACCCAAACUGUUCUAAGAUAUUUAUCGGAUAUGUUAGGCAAGGCCCAUAAGUGGAGGGGAAUAGGAAGGGAAGGACUGUGAGAAAACUCCCUUUCUCUAAAGUAUCUGCCAGUGCUUUUCAGUCUGCCUUACACCAGUGAAAACAGAAAUAGCUCCUGGAGGUGUGGAAUAGAGACAAGGUCCUGGCCCACAUGAGGGUUCAUGUCUUCCACUCAUAUGAGUGCCUUGGAAAUGCUGUAGUACUGCAAGAGAGGCCCUUCCUGCCUCCAGGGAGAGGAGCUGUGUACCAUGGACACCAACAGUCUCCAGAGGAGGCUCCCCACUGCCUGGAGCAGGAAGGGAGACCUCCUGGUCAAUGGUGACAGUCUUCUUUGUGAUGAUCGUGCGUAUCCAUGCUGUUCUUCCAGUGCUCCCAGGUUUAAUUGGUUCAAGUAGUAGAAAUUACCUUGCCAGAACAGUGCCUUGUUUUCAGAUAUUGCGAGAAGCACACAGAGGAUGCUGCUAACUGUUGCACGCCAUUGGAUAGUGCAUCUAAAUCUGGAAAGCUCAGAACUCGUUGACUGUGAAUCAUUCUUGGCUGUACAAUACCAGCAGGCAUUAUAUUGUCAAAAAAUUAACUUUCCAUCAAAAAGCUUUAAAUGUUGCUUUGGCAUAUACAUCAAGAGAAAGUGUAUAUCAUCUGUCACUGGUGUCCCUUUCCAUUGAGUAGUUCCUGUUCCUCAGAGAUGUCACUGCCAAGUGUUCCUGUGCUGAGUGAAGAGGAUCUCAGUGCCUGGCCAGAGGCCAACUGAUAGGGCAUGAAAGGUGGCACAGCUACCAUGUGUUAGAUGGGUUGCUGCCAGGUUAUGUGUCUGUUUGGCAAAACUGGAAACUUUCUAGGGGGACUUUUAAUAUUUUUGGGAUUAAAUCUAAACUGAUGCACUGAUUGAUGGGGGUUCGUAAAGUGGUGAUUGCUCUGAGUGACAAAAAGCAGGAACUGAUUCUCCACUGGAAACACAAUUCAACCAUACAAAAGCUGUGCUUUAUUCCUGAUGAUGAGUUCCUGGAGAUGAAAGCCAUCCAUCCCUGUUUAGAUGCUGAAAUCUUCGGAUAUUCCCUUUUUGAAAAAGUGUGAGGUAACAGAGGUGUCUGAGCAUGUGCAGAGUGAAAGAAGAACAAAAACAAGAGUGUUUUUUAUAGUGUUUGUUGUUGUUGUUUUCCUAAGGUGUAUUCCGGGCAUAAAUUUUAUACCUUUAUGUUUCUUCUCUGCACAGUGGAGAUAUGCACAGAAACUUGCCAUGGGAAAGGUCAUGCAUUGGAGGAAAAAAGGUCAUGGCAUGGGAAAGCAGGAUACCUAGGAAUGAACUGAUAAAAGUGUCUGCUCCUCAUGGCAAGAGCCAAAGCCCCUGAAAGGACCUACCCUGUCAGGACCUUCUCUAUCCCAGUAGCCCUGGAUGUGUUGAGAGAGCCAGUGGAGUAACCACUGGAGGAGUCACUCUAAGGUCACAUGGCUAAGGUCACUCUGUAGAAGACCAGAUCUAAGCAUGUUUUGUCUCAAAUGUUCUUACUGUUAUGACAGGAAGAUAUGAUUGGAGACAUGGAGGUGGGACACUGCAGUUCUGAGCCAACUUCCUGCUCUGCGGUGAGACUCGUGCUCAGUUCCACCUCCCCACUUUUCCUCCCCUGCUUCCUGGAGAAGGGCUGACUGUGCAGGUGUGAACAAAGUGGUGAAAGUCUAAUUUACAUAAGAGGUGUGCACCAGGUUAACUAUAAAAGGACAUAGAUUGGGCCCCUUCGCUCCCUCUUUUCGUCUCUUCUCUUUCUCCUCUCCUUUCCUCUUUUUCUCUUUAGCUUUCUUUGUCUUGCAACACCAGCUGUGGACCGUCCAUAUGGCAGGACAAAUGUGGGAUCUAAGGACUGGUGAGAUUGUUUGUCUUCUUCCCUUGCUUUGCCUGACUGAAGCACUGCUAUCAUAUUCUUUGUACUCUGUAUGGAACACUGUUUUGGGAGGGGGGAGAUUGUGGAGGUGUGCCGUGGGUUGUGUGCCAGCACCUUUGAGGAGUUUGUGGUGGGAGUUGAGAACUUG